AUGAUCAGAUCAAAAGGGCAAGGUGGAAUGGGAUUCCGAGAUAUGCGCAUUUUUAAUCAGGCACUACUGGCUUGUCAAGCUUGGCGGUUGUUGCAAACACCGGAUAGUCUGUGUGCACGUGUACUGAAGGCCCGAUACUACCCAUAAGGAAGCCUACUAGACACUGUGUUUACAGGGCAACGCUUUUCAACUUGGUCUGCUAUCUUAUGGGCUGGAACUUCUCAAGGAAGGCAUGAUAUGGCGCACUGGUAA
rnacentral:rRNA from 1 species